CUCCACUAUAUGAUCUGUUCCUUUUGAGAGUCUGCCUUUGGACACCCCUGAUGUUGCUCAAAAGGUCGUGCCACAUACAAGUUGGAAAUGAGUUGCGAGCAGAAUGGAGAUGCAGCGGCCGAACUGCACCAACAAGUACUUGCCGAUCAAUCCAUGGAAGUUUAGUGAAAGUGGAC